UACGAAGGGUGCAAGCGUUAUCCGGAUUCACUGGGUUUAAAGGGUGCGUAGGAGGGCAGGUAAGUCAGUGGUGAAAUCCCCCGAGCUUAACUUGGGAACUGCCGUUGAUACUAUCUGUCUUGAAUACCGUGGAGGUGAGCGGAAUAUGUCAUGUAGCGGUGAAAUGCUUAGAUAUGACAUAGAACACCAAUUGCGAAGGCAGCUCGCUACACGAAUAUUGACUCUGAGGCACGAAAGCGUGGGGAUCAAACAGG
rnacentral:rRNA from 1 species